rnacentral:misc_RNA from 1 species
GAUGAAGAACGCAUCGAAAUGCGAUAAGUAGUGUGAAUUGCAGAAUUCAGUGAAUCAUCGAAUCUUUGAACGCACAUUGCGCCCUUUGGUAUUCCAAAGGGCAUGCCUGUUCGAGCGUCAUUUGUACCCUCAAGCUUUGCUUGGUGUUGGGCGUCUUGUCUCUAGCUUUGCUGGAGACUCGCCUUAAAGUAAUUGGCAGCCGGCCUACUGGUUUCGGAGCGCAGCACAAGUCGCACUCUCUAUCAGCAAAGGUCUAGCAUCCAUUAAGCCUUUUUUUCAACUUUUGACCUCGGAUCAGGUAGGGAUACCCGCUGAACUUAAGCAUAUCAAUAAGGGAGGA